GGACUAUCCAAAUCCAAGUCUGAAUCUUAGUAUGAUGUCCUAGGCCUAGUCUUAACCUCUUUGUAUUUAUUUAGAUGUUGAGUGUAUGAUUGUGACAGACUAUACCUGUCACUUACAGUGUGGAUAAAGGCAACAGCUGACACAGAUGAUCAACAACCCUUGGACAGGAAUCAUGGCCAGGAAGCUACAGCUCCAGGUUCUAACAAAGAUGCUGCUGUUGGCAUCAGAUGCAGUGUGUGUGUGUGUGUGUGUGUGUGUGUGUGUGUGUGUGUGUGUGUGUGUGUGUGUGUGUGUGUGUGUGUGUGUGUGUGUGUAUGUGUGUGUGUGCGUGUGCGUGUGUGUGCAUUUGAGAGAGCUAGAGAGACAGGAGAUAAAGACGGAGCAUCACCUGUUGGAAAAAUGCAGCACGAGGCCGCAGGAAAUGUUUUUUACUUUAUUUAAAUUUCCUUUUUCUAUAUGAGGACGAUGCUUUAAUCUGUGUCAUAAAUUGCUAAUUCACAUCAGAUGAAAGUUUCAGGAUUCUUCUGGUGACACAAGGACAAACUGGCACCAACGUCCUGCUAGUUUUAUGUGCGUGUCACUUCUUCCGCCAAACACCAGCUUUGAUGUAACCUCCAGUGUUUAAAGGGACAUUAGAGAUACAGUGUGAUCGCCUCUUUCACUCGCAUUGCUAACAAAUAUGCAGCUAACAGAUGGCACAUACUAAUUUGCCACAUAUGAAAGCGCAGUCGUGGAAGUUUUAUCAAUGUGCCAUAAGAGGAUUGGUUCAGUGGAGAAAAGGACAGAGAAAAAGUGGAAUUCCAAACCAGAGGAGGUGUUUAUGCAGUCAUUGUGGGAUGUCAGUGUUCAUAACCUGUGACUUUUCUAUCCUUGAGAAAAAUAUAAAGAAUGAACUCAGUUAGGUUUCCAGACAAGUAAAAUUAAGUGUGUAGGACUAGAGGCAUUUUUUUGAUUGCAGAAUUGUUUAAUACAGAAUUUGGCAGUUAAGAAAUAAACAUGUUAAAACAAUCUCACAAGGUCAAUGUAUUAGCUAUUCCAGAGCUUUCACAUCAAAUGUUCUUCCUCAACAGUUGUUGCACAAUUGUCUUUGUUCACAUUUAAGGUCUUUGUCCAGACUCUUUUGACUAGGGUGGCACAAACUGGGCACUGACUUAUGCAGGGGUGACAUUCUAGUCAUUCCAAAUUUAUGCAACUCUAAUACUGUUUGUGGACCCCAGAAAUAUUCAAAUACACUAUAGGCUAAAAUAACUCAUUUAUACCACCCAAAACUAC
rnacentral:lncRNA from 15 species